rnacentral:rRNA from 1 species
AGAUUGAACGCUGGCGGCAUGCUUUACACAUGCAAGUCGAACGGUAACAGGCCGCAAGGUGCUGACGAGUGGCGAACGGGUGAGUAAUGCAUCGGAACGUGCCCAGUCGUGGGGGAUAACGCAGCGAAAGCUGUGCUAAUACCGCAUACGAUCUAUGGAUGAAAGCGGGGGACCAAAGGCCUCGCGCGAUUGGAGCGGCCGAUGUCAGAUUAGCUAGUUGGUGGGGUAAAGGCCCACCAAGGCGACGAUCUGUAGCUGGUCUGAGAGGACGACCAGCCACACUGGAACUGAGACACGGUCCAGACUCCUACGGGAGGCAGCAGUGGGGAAUUUUGGACAAGUGGGCGCAAGCCUGAUCCAGCAAUGCCGCGUGCAGGAAGAAGGCCUUGGUUGUAACUGCUUUUGUACGGAACGAACGGUCUUAGGUUAAUACCGUGGGACUAAGUGACGGUACCGUAAGAAUAAGCCACGGACUAACGUACGU